CCUACGGGGGGCAGCAGUGAGGAAUAUUGGUCAAUGGCCGUAAGGCUGAACCAGCCAAGUAGCGUGAGGGAAGACUGCCCUAUGGGUUGUAAACCUCUUUUAUGCGGGGAUAAAGGUGUCCACGUGUGGAUGUUUGCAGGUACCGCAUGAAUAAGGACCGGCUAAUUCCGUGCCAGCAGCCGCGGUAAUACGGAAGGUCCGGGCGUUAUCCGGGUUGGUUGGGUUUAAAGGGAGCGUAGGCCGGUCUUUAAGCGUGCCGGGAAAUUUUGUGGCUCAACCAUGAGAGUGCGGCGCGAACUGGAGACCUUUAGCGCGCGGAAGGCAGGCGGAAUUCGUGGUGUAGCGGUGAAAUGCUUAGAUAGCACGAAGAACCCCGAUUGCGAAGGCAGCCUGCCGCAGCGUUACUGACGCUGAAGCUCGAAAGCGCGGGUAUCGAACAGGAUUAGAUACCCGGGUAGUC
rnacentral:rRNA from 1 species